GGGCCUGUGGCGAAAUUGGUAGACGCACCAGACUUAGGAUCUGGCGCCUAACGGUGUAAGAGUUCGAGUCUCUUCGGGCCCA
rnacentral:tRNA from 1 species